rnacentral:lncRNA from 1 species
GUGGAGCCUGGCGACUGCUUUGGGAAGUCCUGCUGGCAGGCACUCUGCCCCUGGGGGUGUGCAAAGAGUUGUCCAGUUACCUUGAUCUUCUCACAGCCUCCUCCCCAGGGCACCAGGAGAGACCAGGAUUGGAGGACGGUAAAGAACACACUUCCCAGAGGAUUCUUGGAGUGUCUGAAACAAACAGAAGUUUGUUUCUCGUCCAUGUAACCAAGGCAAAUGCUCCUGGUUGGCAGGUGGCUUCCUCCAGGCAGUAAAUCUACAGCCCAGGCUCCCUGCAUCUUAUGGCUCCAAUCACUUUGGAUCUCAUCGUCGCCUGCACAUUGCCAUACACAGGGAAGGAGAAGAGAUGGAGAAGGCAAAGACUUUCUGAAAGCCGUGGCUAAAAGCUGGCAUGUGUCACAUCAGCUCACAUUCCAUUGUAGAGACGGGGUUUCACCGUGUUAGCCAGGAUGGUCUUGAUAUCCUGACCUCGUGAUCCGCCCGCCUUGGCUUCCCAAAGUGCUGGGAUUACAGGCGUGAGCCACCGCUCCCGGCCUGGCAGGCAUUCUUGAGGCAAACGGGAAAUGGGGUAAGUUACACAAUCGAUACAGCUCCGUCAUCGUGGUUUAAUUACUUUUCCACGUACCAUGUUUCCUGACAGGUAGAACGAUCAGCCUGGGCCUCCGUUUUUCAUUCUACAAAGAAUGAAGUGCAUGAACUGUCCUCUAUAGAAUUGUGGAAAAAGUUGUUUUUAUUGAGUUGUGGUUAUCUUUGUCUUCAUGGUCUAAUUACGGAAAUAAAUGCUUUUCCGAGUCUCCGGGGAUGGUCUGCCCUAGUCCAGCUCUCUGCAGUGUCUUUCUGGGUUUUUCCUCAGUGAACGGGAGGAACAUUGGCAGCACUUGUGGUCUGCACCAAGAACUGAAUCGAAUUUCCAUGUGUUAUUGAAUGUUCACAAAGACCUUGUACAGCGAGUGUUACUACCUCUGGUCAAUGAUUCAACUCAAGGCUCAGAAAAGUCAAGUGUCUUGUCCAGGGACACUUAGUCAGAAGUGAAUCCAAGGUUUAAGCUCAAGUCUGCCUAACUCUGAAUUUCACAGCCUUUUGCUACAUAUGGCGAAUAAUAUAUCCCUGAGCACUAAAGGCAGACUCCAAGGAUCUUGUCUCUGCAAUCAUCAUUCUGGCCAUAAUUUAUGAAAAGCAACCCAAAGUAUGUGAUGUAAUAAAAAGUACUAUCUAUGAGUUUACCCUUCCAAAAAUUGAACUGAAUUCUGAGCUCUAAAUUUGGAAUCAAAAGAACUUUUCUCUGCACUAAUCAUUUGGAACAUCACUUAAAGAAAACAACGAAAAACUGGUGUCCCCUGAGAGAAAGCAAUACAAAACAUUAUGCAUAAAGAAAUCCUUCCAAAAAAUAAACCAAAUCCAGUCAAAUCUCUAGUUUUGACUCCUAGCUUACCGGAAAUACGUGAUGGGAAAAAAAUGAAAUGACACCACUAUGAUUCAAUCAGCCAAAUCCAGCAUAUGCAAAUUUCUACCAGAUAAAUGGUUUAGUUUCUUCCCCAAACAAAUGGCACAAGGAAACGGAGGUAAGAAUGGGAUGCUGUUAUAGAUUUUAAAAGAUUUAAGAAAGUAUAAACUAAAUACACUAUGUGCAUCCUCUCUGAACGUGCUUCAAACAUAUCAAGGGGUCAAUGAGCAGUUUUGAAACAAUAAGGGAAUUUGAACACUGAAUGGUUGUCAGAAGAUAGUAAGAGAUCAUUAUUAAUUUUACUAGACAUAAUGAUGUUCUGAUUUUGUUUUUUUUUUAAAAAAAAAACAGUGUUAUUUCCUUUAUAGAUACAUCAUAUAGUAUUAACUAAUGAAAUGCUUUGAUAUCUGGAACGUUUAAAAAAUAUUCCCGAUGGAGUAAGUGCAAAGAAACAGGUAAGCAAAAUGCUGAUAAUUGCUGAAACACAGGAUGUGUACCUGGGGCUUCAUUUACUAUCUCUUCAUUUUCUAUUUUGAUAUUUGUUGGACAUUCUCAUAAAAAGGAAAGUUAUGUUUUAUUUUCUCAUAAGCUAGUAAUGAAAUAGCCCUACGUAACUGAUAUUGUAGAGACAAGAAUAGGUGUAAUAGAGCUUAAGGUUUUCAUUUAAAAAACUAUCUGUAGACUUCAAUGGAUCUUAGGUGGCAUCCAUGCAAUAACACUCGUGGAACAUGCAGGACAGGUGUGGAGCUCCAUCUUCACACAGUGACAUUUUUUAUGCUUCUGUUUUCCCUAAGAGUGGAGUGAGAGGAUGAUUAUUUUAUAUCAUGGACUUCUUCCCUGCUAUACUUUUUUUAAUUAUUUUACUUUCACUUCUGGGAUACAUGUGCUGAGCAUGCAGGCUUGUUUACAUAGGUAUACAUCUGCCAUGGUGGUUUGCUGCACCUAUCAACCCAUCAUACAGGUUUUAAGCCCUGCAUGCAUUAGGUAUUCGCCCUAAUGCUCUCCCUCGCCUUUCCCCCCACCCCCUGAUAGCCCCCAGUGAGUCAUAUUCCCCUCCCUGUGUCCAUGUGUUCUCAUUGUUCAACUCCCAUUUAUGAGUGAGAAUAUGUGGUGUUUAGUUUUCUGUUCCUGUGUUAGUUUGCUGAGAAUGAUGUUUUCCAGCUUCAUCCAUGUCCCUGAAAAGGACAUGAGCUCAUUCUUUUUUAUGGCUGCAUAGUAUUCCACGGUGUUAUAUGUGCCACAUUUUCUUAAUCCAGUCUGUCAUUGAUGGACAUUUGGGUUGUUUCCAAGUCUUUGCUAUUGUAAAUAGUGCUGCAAUAAACAUAUGUGUGCAUGUGUCUUUGUAGUAGAAUGAUUUAUAAUCCUUUGGGUAUAUGCCCAGUAAUGGGACUGAUGGGUCAAAUGGUAUUUCUGGUUCUAGAUCCUUGAGGAAUUGCCACACUGUCUUCCACAAUGGUUGAACUAAUUUAUACUCCCACCAACAGGGUAAAAGCAUUCCUAUUUCUCCACAUCCUCUCCAGCAUCUGUUGUUUCCAAAUGUUUUAAUGAUUGCCAUUCCACCUGGCGUGAGAUGGUAUCUCAUUGUGGUUUUGAUUUUCAUUUCUCUAAUGACCAGUGAUGAUAAGCUUUUUUUCAUAUGUUUGUUGGCCACAUAAAUGUCUUCUUUUGACUUUUAUGUGGAAACAAAUUUAACUGCACAGAGAGGUGAAAAUUAAUUAAUAACUUUUAAAGUAAUUCCCUAAGUUUCUAAGGAUCUAUAUGUUUCCAUCUGACUUUAUUUUAUUUAAGCUCUUGAUUGAUGCUGCAUUUGGAGCAGGUUCAUGAACAUGAAUAGAGUUAAUCUGGGACAGAUUUCCCUCAUUUGAUUUUUUCACUGUUUCCAUCACAGAACUUAUUUCAUGCUCACCAUGUUUGCAGGCAUUGAGCUUGGUACUGGAGCCACAGAGCUGGAUCAGACAGACUUGUGCAAAUAUUUCAGGUUUUUUUUGUGGGGGGGUCAUAUUUAUAGAUAAAUAACAGUAAAGAGUGACGGGUUCUUAUGAAAAUGCAUACACAGUGAAGUAGAGGGUGAAAAGGAGGGAUGUGUUCUAUGAGGAGGAAGAGUGAUAAGAAAGUGUAAGGGGAUGUGUCUGUGUCUAGACAUAUGUGUGUUCACGUGUGUGCGUGCUUGUGUGUACUGCAUGUGUAUAUGUGUGGCCAUGCACCUGUGUGCAUGUUCAUGUGUGUGUGUGUAUGUGUCUGUGUUGAGGACUAAAUUAAUUGGGCUUAUGGAAGCAGGGAGCCACUGAUAGGUUUAAUUAGAGACUGACAUGAUAUGAUAGUUUAGGUGGAUUUCUCUGGGGGCUGUGUUGAGGGACAGUGGGGAGGAGAGCUAGAAGGAAGAAAAGGACACAUGCAUAACAGAAGCAAUAUCUGUCUAUGGGAUGGUGGAAAGAAUCAGAAAAGACUUAAUAAAACAUGUGACACUUUAACUGAAUCUUGAAAUAGACAAGUGUUGGAGGAGGGAGUUGGACCAGAUACUUCAUGCAAAGGGAAGAAAAGUGCACAAACAAAAUAUGAGAAACAAGGCAGACAGGCAUUUUUUUAAAAUUUUCGCACCCACUGAUAGACCAGUGAUGCAUUCACAUCGUCUGCAUUCAUGAUCAACAAAAGUGCUUUCCUAGAACAUGAACCUCAACCCAAGUGUCGCCUCAAGUAGUGUAUGCAUGAACUCAAGCAUUAAAUUAGAAUUGAUUUUUUAAAAAACUCACACAAACAGAUGUAUUAUUUAAAAAUCUUUAAAGCAGGUUUAAACAGUUUUCAGGAUUAAAAGCAGCCACUAUUAGAAAGAACAAAAAUACAUUUGACAUAAAUAUAAGGAGCCUCAAUAGAACCUCCUGUACCCAGUCAUUGUCAAUGCCACAUCCAUUCAUUCACCAGCCCUUAUAUCAAUGCUUGCUGGGCUCACUUACCACGAUCAGCACGUGCAUGUCCUUAUCUGAAAGCUUGCCACUCAAAUGUGCUCAGUCUUACCUGUGUGGCUGGGAGUGUUGGGGAUUUAAUGUCAAGGGAAAGAAUCUUCCAUCAAUGAAUGAUGAAAGUUAGUUUUCACAACUUCCGGUCCCCUUGGCCCUCAUCAAAGGGCUCCAGGUGAGGUUUGGGCUCCUUGCUAUCCUCCGAGUUUCCACGGUAGUUUUAAGCACCAUUGCCCGUGGUAAUGGCUGACAUUGAUACUGCACUUUUUUUUUAUUUAAGAUGGAGUUCCCCUCUGCCACCCAGACUGGAGUACAGUGGCGCGAUCCUGGCCAUCGCAACCUCCGCCUCCCAGGUUCAAGCGAUUCUCCUGCCUCAGUCUCUCAAGUAGCUGGGAUAUGGGCACCUGUCACCAUGCCCAGCUAAUUUUUUUAAAAUUUAUUUUUAGUAGAGAUGGGGUUUCACCAUGUUGGCCAGGCUGGUCUCGAACUCCUGACCUCAGGUGAUCCACCCACACUUUUUAUUGUUUGCCUACACUUUCUAGACUUGCUUCAUCAGCCUACUCCGUUUCUGGUUGAUAUGGUUUGGUUGUGUCCCCACUCAAAUCUUAUCUAGAAGUGUAAUCCCCAAGUCUCAAGGGAGGGACCUGGUGUGAGGUGAUUGGAUUGGGGGGUGGUUCCCGCCAUGCUGUUCUCAUGAUAGUGAGUGAGUUCUCAUGAGAUCUGAUGGUUUUAUAAGGCAGUUUUCCCUAUUCUUGCUCACUCUUCUCUCUCUUUCUGCCAUGUGAAGAAGGUCCUUGCUUCCCCUUCACCUUCUACCAUGAUUGUAAGUUUCCUGAGGCCUCCCCUCAGCCAUGCACAACUGUGAGUCAAUUAAACCUCUUUCCUUUAUAAAUUACUCAGUCUCAGGUCGUAUCUUUAUAGCAGUAUGAGAAUGGACUAAUACACUGGUCUAUCCUUCAUCCAAAUUAACUACCUGCACUGCAGUCCUUGUCUCAGGCUCUGCUUUGAGGGACCCCAACUGUGACAGCCGCAUUAGAAUGCAUCACAUACUGCAGUGAAAUUCUAGAGUGGGUGUUGUCAGGUGGUGAUGAUUGUUAGAUAUGUCAGUCUGUUUUCAGGCUGCUGAUAAAGACAUACCUGAGACUGGGUAAUUUAUAAAGGAAAAGGAGGUUUAAUGGACUCACAGUUCCACAUGGCUAGGGAGGCCUCACAAUCAUGGCAGAAGGUGAAAGGCACGGCUUACAGGGUGGCAGCAAGAGAGGAAAUGAGAACCAAGUGAAAAGGUUUCUGCUUAUAAAACCAUCAGCUCUUGUGAGACUUAUUCAUUACAAUGAGAACAAUAUGGGGGAAACUGCCCCCAUGAUUCAAUUAUCUCCCACCAGAUCCCUCCUACAACACAUGAGAAUUGUGGGUGCUACAAUUCAAGAUGAGAUUUGAGUGGGGACAAAGUCAAACCAUAUCAUUAGAUAGGACACUGGAGAAAGGCAAGAAAGAAAAGACAUCUGAAGAAUGAAGGGAGCCAAAGAAAUGCCAACAUUUUGCUUUUUGAAGAAAAGCUAAAUUAAAGUCAAAAUGGAUUUAUCAAUUUCCUUGGGUUCGUGAAUGUACAGAACUUUAUUAAGACUGUCAUGCUGUCAUCAUGGCUGGAUCUGAUACGGCCACCGUGGACCUUGAGGUGACCUCGGGAAUGGAGACAGUGCAUGGGAGAGAAUCACAUUGGAAGGGGCCUGGGUUUCUGAAGACCCUGUAAGACAGAUCUCCUUGCAGCCCUGACUGCCCACAUUAGGGCUUUUAUGUUAGGGUGAAGUUACCUUGCAUUGUCAUAUAAGCAAUUGCUAUUUGUGGUGUCUUGCAAAUAAACCUAUUCUGAUCUAGUAUGUUUCCUAAAAAACAAAAGUUUGAACCCAGCUCUUUACGUGUUACAUGUUCUGAAUACAAAAAUAAGACCCAGUUUCUGCCCCCUAGCAGGACCCAAAACCCCUCAGUGAAGGCAUACACCAUAGGAAUAAUCUCACAAGUACUUU